rnacentral:rRNA from 1 species
GACAUUACGGGAGGCAGCAGUAGGGGAUAUUGCUCAAUGGGCGAAAGCCUGAAGCAGCAACGCCGCGUGUGUGAUGAAGGCCUUCGGGUCGUAAAGCACUUUUCUGGGAGAUGAGAAAGGACAGUAUCCCAGGAAUAAGUCUCGGCUAACUACGUGCCAGCAGCCGCGGUAAAACGUAGGAGGCAAGCGUUAUCCGGAUUCACUGGGCGUAAAGCGCGUGCAGGUGGCGCGGUAAGUUGGGCGUGAAAUCUCCCGGCUCAACUGGGAGAGGUCGUUCAAUACUACCGUGCUUGAGAGCAGAAGAGGAAGAUGGAAUUCCCGGUGUAGUGGUGAAAUGCGUAGAUAUCGGGAGGAACACCAGUGGCGAAGGCGAUCUUCUGGUCUGUUUCUGACACUCAGACGCGACAGCUAGGGUAGUAACACCGGGAUUAGAGACCCCGGUAAUCCUAGCCGUAAACGAUGUGAACUUGGCGUUGGUGGGUUAAACUCCAUCAGUGCCGUAGCAAACGCGAUAAGUUCACCGCCUGGGGACUACGGCCGCCAAGGUUAAAACUCAAAGGAAUUG